AAGAUACAACAUUGUCAUCUUUGGCGGUAUAGAUGGAUUUUCAAGGAAGAUGUUCUAUCUGGACACUGCGGCCAAUAACAAAGCAGCAACUGCUUUUGGAUACUUUAUGAAUGGAGUCGGCAGAAAUGGAUGCCCUUCAAGAGUGCGAGCUGAUCAAGGGGAUGAAAAUGUAGAUAUUGCCAGAUGUAUGUUCACUGUCCGAGGAACAGGCCGUGGAAGCUUUAUUGCUGACAAAAGUGUCCAUAACCAGAGAUUCAGCAGGUGGAGGACUUGCUUUAUCAGGAGGAUUAUCUGGAAACACUGAUAAUGGGGUCAUUGUUCCAGACAUCCCAUGCCCCCUGUCUACUGAGAAUCUUUCUGGGCUGCAACGUCAAGUGAACCCAUACCACUGACUCCUCAUCUUUUGGUCAGGACAUAUACAUGCUCUUCGAUUAGUUAUGAGUCUCCAGCCUUUUUAGAUGCAGUCCUCCCACACUAUGUAGGAUAUUGUUUUAGCCCCAGUGCCACUCUUGAUAAACGAAAAAAUGAGGGGUUUUUUUGCUGGAAAAGAAAACACCUCUUAACUGGUAUGAUGUAAACAUUCAUUGAA